GAUCUGAAAAAGAAUUUAUUGAAAAAAAAUCUUGCUUAUUUGAGCAUAUUCAUGUUUUGAAACAAUCCAGCAUUUCAUAAUACAAAGCAGUAGGUUAAAGUUUGGAUAUGAUCAGUUCCUGGUUUAGGUAAAUAGGUAACUAGAUAACAGAGGAUUAUUCACAAAUAUUUGAGCAUGUGACUCACGAAUUCAGCCUAUGACCCUCCAAGUCAAUAAAGACAAGCACAAAAACACUAAGGAGUCUGAUGUCUAUGUAGGGCAAUGUCCUGGGAUGCAAAUUAUCUCACAGGGUACACUGCUUUAAGAUUUCAUUACAGAUGCUCAGAAAACUGUGAGAAAUCCAACAUACCUUCAAACAGCUCAUUGGUUAUGAGAAAGUGGUUUUGGUGCGUAAUCUCUGUGACUUUGACUCAUCUGCAGAAAGUAGGCAGAACUGACUAAUAAUGUCAGAUACAUAAUACCACUACCACAGUAUCUGCUUAAAAAUUGCUGCUACCAUCUGGCCACCCCUAAAUACUUACCAAGAGUUUAAAAUCUUAUACAAGUGAAAUGAAAGCUUGUGUUUGUCAGAAUGUUAAAAUUGAUCUUCCCCCUUCUACCUCCUGAUAUGGGAGCAUUUAAAACCAAUCAUAGAGUGUCUUUUUUCUCUGCUUUAGAUAUUACUGGUGCCUGCUGAAAAGAAUACAGAAACUCCAACAAAGAAGUUAAUUCUUAACUUUUCCUUCUUCCUCAGUUUAAUCACUAUCAGUGUCAUGAAAUACAUCAUCUAGGAACUGUGUGAGUUCCUUUUCCACAAGAAAGAAAUUUCUAUAUUAAGAAAAGAAAACCAUGGUAGGUGGGGGGAUGAGAAAAAACAAAUAGAACACAAUGACAUACAAUGGAGGCAUAUUUUAUAAAUUAUUGUAUCUAUUGUAAAGAAACAGUCCCUGAAGACUUAGGCUUCUUAACAUUUACAUAUUCUUAAGGAGAGGUAAUCUCCAAAACUGAGUUACAUCAAUAAAAAGAAGAUGACUUGUUCACAUAUAUUCUUCAAUUAAAAUGAAAGAAUGAAAAUUAAAGUGUUAAAACUAAUGCUCUUAAAAAACCAGGACUUGUUCUCUUGUAUCUACAUGGACAUUUCUCUGCUGAUAUUUAAAACUGACCGCUUCCUGUUCAAAACCCAUAAGGCCUAUUAUUCUUCCAUUUUUGUAAAAGGGAGCUCCAGGAGAGUCAUGAGUGAGGUUGAAUGUCUGAAGUGGAGAGUGACUCGGAUACCAGUAACUGAAAUGUGUGCAAAUUAAAAGCUCUGAGAAGAGAUUAAGAUAAGCAGAAGAGCUAGAAGCCAUUAAAAAGUGCUUGAAAGGGAUUGUUAAAACUGUUGUUACAAACUGGAAUAAAUUAGGCACAGAUGCUUAAAUUGAAAGGACAAAAAAAGCAGCACCUCACACAUUUCAGAAUCUGUUUGCUGGCUGCCAUCUGAAUAUUUGUAUCAGAUGUUUCUGCAAAUCAAAAUAAAUAUUUAACUUGUA